rnacentral:rRNA from 1 species
CGCCAGUCUGCAUGGAGCCGGCCUUGAAAUACCACCCUUUAAUGUUUGAUGUUCUAACGUGGACCCGUGAUCCGGGUUGCGGACAGUGUCUGGUGGGUAGUUUGACUGGGGCGGUCUCCUCCUAAAGAGUAACGGAGGAGCACGAAGGUUGGCUAAUCCUGGUCGGACAUCAGGAGGUUAGUGCAAUGGCAUAAGCCAGCUUGACUGCGAGCGUGACGGCGCGAGCAGGUGCGAAAGCAGGUCAUAGUGAUCCGGUGGUUCUGAAUGGAAGGGCCAUCGCUCAACGGAUAAAAGGUACUCCGGGGAUAACAGGCUGAUACCGCCCAAGAGUUCAUAUCGACGGCGGUGUUUGGCACCUCGAUGUCGGCUCAUCACAUCCUGGGGCUGAAGUAGGUCCCAAGGGUAUGGCUGUUCGCCAUUUAAAGUGGUACGCGAGCUGGGUUUAGAACGUCGUGAGACAGUUCGGUCCCUAUCUGCCGUGGGCGCUGGAGAACUGAGGGGGGCUGCUCCUAGUACGAGAGGACCGGAGUGGACGCAUCACUGGUGUUCGGGUUGUCAUGCCAAUGGCACUGCCCGGUAGCUAAAUGCGGAAGAGAUAAGUGCUGAAAGCAUCUAAGCACGAAACUUGCCCCGAGAUGAGUUCUCCCUGACUCCUUGAGAGUCCUGAAGGAACGUUGAAGACGACGACGUUGAUAGGCCGGGUGUGUAAGCGCAGCGAUGCGUUGAGCUAACCGGUACUAAUGAACCGUGAGG